rnacentral:tRNA from 1 species
GCUUACGUAGCUCAGAGGUAGAGUUCUUGUCUGAUACGCAGGAGGUCAAUGGUUCGAAUCCAUUCGUAAGCACCA